rnacentral:rRNA from 1 species
UACAGAGGUCUCAAGCGUUGUUCGGAUUCAUUGGGCGUGAAGGGUGCGUAGGUGGCGCUGUAAGUCGGGUGUGAAAUUUCGGAGCUUAACUCCGAAACUGCAUUCGAUACUGCGGUGCUUGAGGACUGGAGAGGAGACUGGAAUUCAUGGUGUAGCAGUGAAAUGCGUAGAGAUCAUGAGGAAGACCAGUGGCGAAGGCGGGUCUCUGGACAGUUCCUGACACUGAGGCACGAAGGCCAGGGGAGCAAACAGG